AAUUACAAACUGACAAGAACUUUUUUAUUUAUUAAUUCCUUGCUUCCAGUCUCCAACAUUCUUCUCUUCUUUCUCCUCUAACUAGUUCCAGUCUCAAUUUAUUCACGCGUCUAAAAUGGCGGGAAUUAUAAUUUCUCGUUUUCAGUUUUAUCAUUAUCGAGAAAAAGUUUAAAUAUGAAGAAAUAUGAUACAAAACCUUUAAGCAUCGGGAAUUGGGUCUUCGAUUCAUCACAUCCUGUGUGAAAAUUGAUUCGGGACUUGUUUACUUUCAACUUAUCUGCUGUAUCCCUGUAUUGACCAUUGCAAUAACAGACGAAAAAUGCGAAGCCUCUUGGUGUGAUCUGUGCCUCACAAUGUCAGUGAAUGAACCUUUUCACAAAUUUUGAAUCUGUGGAUCGAACACUAUCGUAUCAACUAUUGAGAUGACGACGUACCUUCCCAUCAGCCGUCACAGCAGCAAAAACGGUGGAAGCAUAAGGUGCCCAUGCAACAUCACCAACCGAAUUGUUCAUAUCAAAGGCAAAACUUUCCUUAGUUUGAAGUCGACAAAUUCAAAAGGAGCAGAACCAACAUAUUCACUAUGCUCGGAGAAGCAAGAUUUUUCUGACUGCAAACGAACUAAUGAAAUAAAAGGAAAGUCAACAAGUUAUUAAUCUAAAAUACUCUCAGUCCCAAGAAAGAAUCGUUAUAAAGAUGCAAAAUGUCCUUUAGGAUUCAUUUGUGUUCGAUGCAUACACAAUGUCAUGUAAGCUCAUAAAACUACAGAUGAAUCAACUCAGUCUUGUUAAGCGGGAAGAACAGCAGCGAGCAAGUGCAAUGACAAAAA